GGUUUUCAGCCAAGUAGUUUGGAGCUAAACCCAAGAAUCAUUUACCAGUUCGAAAACAGAUUUCCAAGCCUCUUACAUCUUUCUUUUUCAGUUGUUAAUGGUCACAUGCUAGUUUCUUGUGAAAUAGAAAAUAAAAAUGUCAAGGUAAGGAAAGUAAAGAUAUGAAAAUGUCAAGUUAGUGAUUAAUUAUAGUGUGUGCUUCUCUUCGUUGAUAUUUAGAGAUUCCCGAAUCAGACAAUGCUUUAGGGACUUUGCAACUUCAGAUUAGAGGCCUUGACUACUUUUUCUCCAUUGUCCUUCAUCUCAGAAACAUCAAUUCUCUCCCCAACAGUGGCUUUUCCCUUAAAAUAGGUAAGAGGACAUAGAGGAUUCCUUACUCACAUUAGAGGGAGAUGUCAACACAGGUUUAAGUGACAUCUUUGGACAUUUCAUAAGAGUUGGAAGGUUAUUGUUUUCAUAAGAAGAUUGCAGAAGCCAGGCACAGUGGCUCAUGCCUGUAAUCCAAACCCUUUUGGAGGCUGAGGCAGGAGGAUACCUCUAGUCCAGGAGUUUGAGACCAGCCUGGGCAAGAUGGUCUGUCUUUCUCACCUAAUUCUGAGUGCCACAAAAGCAGAAACUAUGAUUCACUUAGUCCUGGCAAUGUGAGCCUGGAAGCUGGAACACCUUAAAAACUUAGUGAAUCUCACUAUAAAUGAGAAAAUUAAAAAAGAAAGGAAGGAAGAAAGGACAGAAGAAAGAUAGAGAAAAAAAGAAAAAGAAAAGGAAAAAAAAAUUCAAAACAAAAAACCAAGAAAGUUGUCAUGAAAUCCAGGAAAAACUGAGUGUGCUCUUCUUGAACCUGACGCUUAAUUGUCCCCAUGCUCCUGCCUCUUCUGAGUCCCACCAAUCCCUCUACAAUAAUGUACACAUGUAUGCAAGUAUACACACUACAAAUAAGGAAGUCUGUCAAGCAUUCCAUAUGCCAUGAAGAUGAGGGAAAAUGUUGGGGGAAGGCUUGGAAUCAGCUGAAAGGGGGAAGAUGCUGAGGGCACCUGGCCAAGAACUCCCAGGUCAUGACGUGGGCAGAAGAGGCUUUCUCCAUAGUCUCUAUAUUCCAUGUAAGGGAAAAUACUUAUUAGUCUCUACUUCUGUAGUGUAGAAAUAAGGUGAAAAUAAAGUAAGUAAUCAACCAGACUUAGAUUCUUUCAGCACCAUGUACUCUCUCCUAUUCAUUCAUAAAUUUGAAGUGUUAAGGUCUCACACUUGCUAUGAAACUUCCGUUGAGAUGGAAAAUUCUGAUUAAAAUUCAUUUAAAGUUGAAUUAAGACCUAUGGCCCUCUUCAGAGAACUGGAAAAAACCACCUUAAACUUCAUAUGGAACUAAAGGAGAGCCUGCAUAGCCGAGACAAUCUAAGCAAAAAGAACAAAGUUGGAUGUAUCAUGCUACCUGACUUCAAACUAUACUAUAAGGCUACAGUAAUCAAAACAGCAUGAUACUGGUACCAAAACAGAGAUAUAGACCAAUGGAACAGAACAGAGGCCUCAGAGGCAAUGCCAAACAUCUGCAACCAUCUGAUUUUUGACAAACCUAACAAAAACACAGGGAAAAGAUUCCCUGUUUAAUAAAUGGUGUUGGGAAAACUGGCUAGCCAUGUGCCGAUAACAGAAACUGGACCCUUUCCUGGUACCUUACACUAAAAUUAACUCCAGAUGGAUUAAAAAUGCAAACAUGAGACCUAACACCAUAAAAAUCCUAGAAGAAAACCUAGACAAAACCAUUUAGGUCAUAGGACUAGGCAAGGACUUCAUGACUAAAACACCAAAAGCAUUGGCAACAAAAGCCAAAAUAGACAAAUGGGAUCUAAUUAAACUCUAGAGCUUUUGUACAGCAAAAGAAACAAUCAUUAGCGUGAACUGGCAACCAAUAGAAUGGGAAAACAUUUUUGCAAUCUACCCAUCUGACAAAGGGCUAAUAUCUAGAAUCACAAAGAACUAAAACAGAUUUACAAGAAAAAAACAACCCCAUUCAAAAGUGGGUGAAGGACAUGAACAGACACCUUUCAAAAGAGGACAUAUAUGAGGCCAACAAACAGAUGAAAAAAUGCUCAUCAUCACUGGCCAUUAGAGAAAUGCAAAUCAAAACCACAUUGAAAUACCAUCUCACACCAGUUAGAAUGGUGAUCAUUAAAAAAUCUGAGACAACAGAUGCUGGAGAGGAUGUGGAGAAAUAGGAACACUUUACACUAUUGGUGGGAGUGUAAAUUAGUUCAAUCAUUGUGGAAGACAGUGGGGUGGUUCCUCAAGGACCUAGGAAUAGAAAUUCCAUUUGACCCAGAAAUCCCAUUACUGGGUAUAUGUCCAAAGGAUUAUACAUUGUUCUGUUACAAAGACACAAGCACAUGUAUGUUCACUGCGGCACUGUUUACAAUAGCAAAGACCUGGAACCAACCCAAUGCCCAUUGAUGACAGACUGGACAAGGAAAAUGUGGCAUAUAUACACCAUGGAAUACUAUGCAGCCAUAAAAAAUGAUGAGUUUGUGUCCUUUAUAGGGACAUGGAUGAAUCUGGAAACCAUCAUUCUCAGCAAAUUGACACAAGAACAGAAAAUCAAACGCUGCAUGUUCUCACUCACAGGCGGGUGUUGAACAAUGAGAACACAUGGACACAGGGAGGGGAGCAUCACA